rnacentral:rRNA from 1 species
AUUGAACGCUGGCGGCAGGCCUAACACAUGCAAGUCGAGCGGAUGAAGGGAGCUUGCUCCUGGAUUCAGCGGCGGACGGGUGAGUAAUGCCUAGGAAUCUGCCUGGUAGUGGGGGAUAACGUCCGGAAACGGGCGCUAAUACCGCAUACGUCCUGAGGGAGAAAGUGGGGGAUCUUCGGACCUCACGCUAUCAGAUGAGCCUAGGUCGGAUUAGCUAGUUGGUGGGGUAAAGGCCUACCAAGGCGACGAUCCGUAACUGGUCUGAGAGGAUGAUCAGUCACACUGGAACUGAGAAACGGUCCAGACUCCUACGGGAGGAAGCAGUGGGGAAUAUUGGAAAAUGGCGAAAGCCUGAUCCAGCCAUGCCGCGUGUGUGAAGAAGGUCUUCGGAUUGUAAAGCACUUUAAGUUGGGAGGAAGGGCAGUAAGUUAAUACCUUGCUGUUUUGACGUUACCAACAGAAUAAGAACCGGCUAACUUCGUG